rnacentral:lncRNA from 10 species
AUUCGCUCAUGGUUCUGGAGGCUCGAAGUCCAAAAUCAAGAUGUCCACAGGGCUAUGCUCUCUCUGAAGUUUCUAGGGGAGAAUCCUUGCCUGUCUAUUUCAGCUUCUCAUGGUUUCUGCGAUCCUUGGUGGUCCUUGGCUUCUAGAUGCGUCACUCCAGUCUCUGUCUCUGUGGUCAUAGGGCCUUCUCCUUGAGAGUCUGUGUCACUGUAUCCAAAUCUCUCUCCUUUUUCUCCUAGAAAGUCACAAAUCACUACAUAAGGACCUGCUGUAACCAGUCUGACCUCAUCUUGAUUACAGCUGCAAAGACCCUAUUUCCAAAUAGAGCCACAUUCUGAGGAUCCAGGGUGACAAAUUUUGGGAGGAUAAUAUUCCAUCUGGCACAGAAGGGAAAAGGGAAGUUUUUGUCUGAAGAAGGGGCUUGUCUGGAGUUGCUGGAGAGCCAGUGGGAUUGCAUCUUUUGCAGAGGACAGGUCCUUAAGGGCAAAAUCGCUUAAGAGUCAAAAUGGCCUUGAAAAUUCCUUGGGAAGCCGUCAUGUUGGAGCCAACCACUAUUUCUCAAUAAUUUCAGCACAGCCAGUUUUUCCUCCUGCGUUGGGACGGAUCGCUGUUUCUCCUGUCAAGCUCCAGAUACAGUAAAGUCUUGUGUUUAGGGGCCACACAGUGGAGUGGGACACUCACAGGCAGAGGGAGGAACCAGGUGCUCCUACUCAGAGACACGUGGGACCCAACGGGAGGGUUUGGCUUGGAAGAGACACCUUCAAAGUGAGUGGUGUGGGGAUUUCCCCAUCAUAUAAUGUCCCCUUUGGGGUGUGAGGGGCAAAUGUGUUUAGUUAAGUGGAUCUUAACUCAGUUAAAUUAAAUUCAUGUAUGAUGUGAGACCAGCGUGGAAAGGUCUUACCUCUUGAUUAACCAAUUGUUCUUCCCCAGUCACUCCAUUGCUCCUCUUUGAGCCAUCCAAAAAGUCACCUCAUCUUUCCAGACCUCAGGGUCCUCAUCUGUAAAUUGGGGGGCAUGUGGACUUGGACAGAAUGGGCCCUCUCUGUCACUUGGAGAGUCUGGGAUUGUAAGCUGCCCUCCGGGAGAUCAAAACACCACACGAUGCAGGUGGCACUGGACAGACGCGGGACACAGGGGCUCUGCUAAGGUCCCUGGUGCUACAGAAGAGGACGGUGAUCACCAGGCCCAGGAAGGAGGGUUGCUGGGAAUGAAGAUCGCAGCCACGCUGCACGAUGCAAGGCUAAGGUGCACGCAGUGCGCUGUGGCUUCAGGUCCCGAAAGCACAGGCCUGGGACAGCUUUUCCAGAUGGCAAGUCUGCUUUCUCCCAGCCCCAACAUGCCUUUCUGAAAUGUAAAGCAGCCCAGUCCUGGCCUCAGAAUGCUGGGGUGAACAACUGGAGAACGGGGUUCCAGCCACUGCAGAUGAAUCCAGAGGCACUAGAAACACAGAGAGAGCAAGAAGGAAAGGGAGGGGACACGAGG